rfam:Vibro shilonii strain QT6D1 chromosome 1, complete sequence.
GACCAAAAAGAGGCCCAAAACUGAUCCUGAUUUGGGCCUAGGGGAAUGGCUCAUGGAGAGCCUACGCUAACUGUUUUAAACAAACCUGCAUUCAAGAAUGCGUCGCUAUGCUUCUUUAUGUCAGUGCUUAGAAUCUUUACUUU